CCUACGGGAGGCAGCAGUGAGGAAUAUUGGUCAAUGGCCGGAAGGCUGAACCAGCCCAGCCGCGUGAGGGAGGAAGGCGCAGAGCGUCGCAGACCUCUUUUGCCGGGGGACAAAAGGCCGGACUCGUCCGGUCCUGAGGGUACCCGGAGAAAAAGCAUCGGCUAACUCAUUGCCAGCAGCCGCGGUAAUACGGAGGAUGCGAGCGUUAUCCGGAUUCAUUGGGUUUAAAGGGUGCGCGGGCGGGCCUUUAAGCCGGCGGUGAAAUCGCGGGGCUCAACCCCGCCGAGCCGGCGGAACUGGGAGCCUUGAGAGCGGCGGAGGCAUGCGGAAUGCGCGGAGGAGCGGUGAAAUGCAGAGAUAGCGCGCAGAACCACGAUUGCGAAGGCAGAGGGCCGUGCCGCAAGUGACGCUGAGGCACGAAAGCGCGGGGAUCGAACAGGAUUAGAUACCCGUGUAGUC
rnacentral:rRNA from 1 species